AUGCAAGUCGAGCGGGGGAAGGUAGCUUGCUACCGGACCUAGCGGCGGACGGGUGAGUAAUGCUUAGGAAUCUGCCUAUUAGUGGGGGACAACAUCUCGAAAGGGAUGCUAAUACCGCAUACGUCCUACGGGAGAAAGCAGGGGAUCUUCGGACCUUGCGCUAAUAGAUGAGCCUAAGUCGGAUUAGCUAGUUGGUGGGGUAAAGGCCUACCAAGGCGACGAUCUGUAGCGGGUCUGAGAGGAUGAUCCGCCACACUGGGACUGAGACACGGCCCAGACUCCUACGGGAGGCAGCAGUGGGGAAUAUUGGACAAUGGGGGGAACCCUGAUCCAGCCAUGCCGCGUGUGUGAAGAAGGCCUUAUGGUUGUAAAGCACUUUAAGCGAGGAGGAGGCUACUUUAGUUAAUACCUAGAGAUAGUGGACGUUACUCGCAGAAUAAGCACCGGCUAACUCUGUGCCAGCAGCCGCGGUAAUACAGAGGGUGCGAGCGUUAAUCGGAUUUACUGGGCGUAAAGCGUGCGUAGGCGGCUUAUUAAGUCGGAUGUGAAAUCCCCGAGCUUAACUUGGGAAUUGCAUUCGAUACUGGUGAGCUAGAGUAUGGGAG
rnacentral:rRNA from 1 species